CCCCCGAGAGGAACAGCAGCAACGCAUGAAGCCUCACAUCACUAACUGCUUUACGCCUCUGAAGUCUUAUAUAUCAGUCACAAUGUUCUUAAUGUAGAGACAAAUGGACCUGUGCACUUCUUCUCCCUACCUUCCCAGGUGUGUGUUGGGUGUUGUAGUCCUCUCUUACUGUAUGUGUGGACAUUAGUGCAAAGCAUUGUGGGGUUAACGUACAGACAACGUGUCCACAUAUCUGUGUGUCUUCACUUGGUGUACGUCAAACUGUGCUGUCUUCUAUUGUCAGAGCUCUGAUAAUGGAACAUGUCAUGUAUGUGUUUUUGUCUUAAAGGAACACGUCAACAUUUAUGGGAAAAAAGUGUAUUUGCGGAGUUAGACGGGACAAAGAAUAAUUACAUUAGAGACAAUACGCCUGUUUGGCAGUCUCGCUCAUGGAGACGGCAAAAGUCAAGAGGCUCACAAAAAGCAGAACAUGUUGUUUUCAAAUAUCUGUUUAUUAGAUGAAACAAUUGAGGUUUUAAUGAUCAAAUAGAAGGUGGAUAGAGCUAAGUGCUAGCCCUUCUUCUCUCUAAUCACAAAUGAGCGGUUUACCUAAAAUGUUGAGUUGAUUCUUUCACUGUGUGAUUGUAAAUGGGGGGGGGGACAUCCACACCCCCCCUGUGGACACUUUCUGAGAUUCAGGACAUGGGAGCUGGCUGAGCAGAUCAAGGCCUUCCUCUCCUCUCUGGGAGUGUGCCUCAGAUUCAUCAGGGUUCCACGGUGCCUUAAUGUGUCCUUCAUCUCGGCUCCUUUUAUUUCAGGUGGACAAUAUGCAGAUUAACUGUGACUGUGAGGCUGCUGCUGUGCACGGUUCACUUCCCACCUCACAUUUCAACAGGCCUGGAUCAUAUGGCAAAGAAACCUUCACAAAUACUUGUUCAGUUGACAGUGUUUGUUUAAAGAAAUACUUCACCCACAUAAUCAUGAUGACUCACCCUGUUACCUUGGCGAAAAGUCAACUGCCUCCUUCCUGAACGUAGAGAAAACAGAGAAGUCUUGAUGAAUUGAAGUAAAUGGGACCACGUUUAACAUGAGUCCAAUUAUAUGAAAACAUACUCUCACUCAACCAGUGAAGUAUCAUACAAGUCUAAUGUAUCCAGUUGUAUGCUCACUACUUCACACAUGCAUGCAUUGUCACUAAUACCUUACUUUUUUAUACACUUUGGCAUACAACGUUUCACAGAUGUCUUCCUAUAGUUUUGCUGUUAAACUCGGCACCCAUUCACUUCAAUCCUUUAAGACCUUUCUCCAAAAUCAAGUUUUCACCCAAGGUAACGGGGUGAGUAGGCUAACUGUAAAGAUGAGAAUUGUGUGGGUAAAGUAUUUCUUUAAGAGCCACCCUGGUUAUAAAAAAUAGAAACUUAAACUAAAGAUUAUUUGUUGCUGUUUGACCUUUGGCUGCACACCGUAUGUAUUUAGAUAUGUAAUAAUGAGUAUAGACUUGUUGAUAGGCAAUCCUCAGUCACUUUUGCAGAUAUAUAAAAUAAAUUCUAAAAUGGGAUCCCAUAUUGAUAAAAAUCUAACUUAUAAUCUUUCAUUUUUAUAUACAGAUGUAGAUAUAAUUUUCUAUUCAGUUUGCUUCUUUAAUAGAUAUUUGUUUUAUUUUUUCAGCUUUGUAAUUUAAUGUUGACAUUUAAUUUGUUGUGUCAUACAUGUGUCUUCUUUUGUAUUCAGCCAGGUACAGGCUUUGUUUGUCUGUGUAUACAUUUAGGAAUAUAUGUUCUGCAUAUGGAAAGUGAAAGUGUGGCUCAUCUGUGAGACGCUGAGAGCACAUGGAUGUUCGUCACAGUUCUUUUAUGUCUACUGUUCAUUUAACCUCACAAACAUAAUCAUUAGAAUAAGGCUUAACUGUUGUGACUGACAUUGCAAUGAAUGCAGUAUACCUGCCGCAUGACUUUAGCAAGCUAGAGUCAACCCUUUGGUUGUGGCAUUUUCAUAAUUCAUAGGAAUUUGGUAAGCUGAAUGUGAAAUAUAUCCCAUAGCUGCAUCACUGGAUCCAAACUCCAUCAGAAGACUGGUGUUUUGAGAGGACCAUGAUGCUCCUCUCUGAGGCCGGCCAUGUCUAUACCUUGUUUAGUUUCUUCUGAUUAUUAAAGACAAUUCAAUCAUAUGUUGUAUGUCCUGUCUCUUUAGGUACUUUUACCAUGUGAAAUGAUUCAACCUAUUUACUUAUACGGUUUCUCGAGCAGUUUGAGAUGUGACACUUUGUAGAAAAAUGAGUUUGCUUUAAAGGGACCGGAGAACAAAUAAAUAAAUACAUAUUU